GAACGAGUUGGAAAGCUCAGCCAGAGACUGUGAUAGCCAGGUAUGCGAAAACGACGCUGACCUUAUUCUGUAUUCUCGAGUAGGUCGGGGCACGAGAAACCCUGAUUGAAUCCGGCUGGACCACCAGCCAAGGCUAAAUAUAGUAUAUGAUCGAUAGUGAACUAGUACGGUGACGGAAAGGUGAAAAGAACCCCGGGAGGGGAGUGAAAUAGAACCUGAAAUUUUGUGCCUACAAGGAGUCGGAGCCCAGCACCUUUGAAAUCGAGUGGUACAAUGUAGGCGGAUGUUCUACGUGUACGUUUUGCAAAGUGAUCGGGAAUCAGAUCAAAUUUACUUCGGUCAGACUAGUGACUUAAGACGACGUCUCUCGGAGCAUAAUUCUGGCAAGGAUACUUAUACCAAGAUAUAUGCGCCAUGGAAGGUCGUCUAUUAUGAAGCCUAUUCAUCACGUAAGCUAGCAAUGGCCCGUGAGAGGCAGUUGAAAGCUUAUGGACAAGCUAGGACUGCUCUGAAGAAGAGACUAAAUUUGAUCUGAUACUCGAUUUCAAAGGUGCUGGGUGACGGCGUGCUUUUUGUAGAACGAUCCAGCGAGUUAAUUUUUACGGCGAGGUUAAGUCAGAUGACGAAGCCACAGUGAAAGCGAGCAUUAACAGUGCGAUUUAGUCGUAAGGAUUAGACCCGAAACCAGGUGACCUAACCAUGAGCAGGUUGAAGCAACCUUAAUCGGUUGUGGAGGACCGAACCAGUGUAUAUUGCAAAAUGCUUGGAUGACUUGUGGUUAGCGGUGAAAUGCCAAUCGAACUUGGAGAUAGCUGGUUCUCCGCGAAAUAGUUAUAGGACUAGCGUCGUGUGAUAGCUUACGGGGGUAGAGCUCUGUCAAGAGAUAGGGGGAGCAAUCCUACCUACUCUUAAUAAACUACGAAUACCGUAUGUCUGUAUCACGGCAGUUAGAACGUCGGUGCUAAGAUCGGCGCUCAAAAGGGAAACAGCCCAGACCAUCAUCUAAGGUCCCCAAAUUUACGCUAAGUGGGAAACAAGGUGGAAUUUCUUAAACAGCUAGGAUGUUGGCUUAGAAGCAGCCAUUCAUUUAAAGAGUGCGUAACAGCUCACUAGUCAAGAGAUUCUGCGUGGAAGAUAUAACGGGGCUAAGCGUAAUACCGAAGAUAUGGAUUGCAAUUUAUUGCAGUGGUAGCGGAGCGUUCCUAUCAGCAGUGAAGCCAGACUGUUAAGUACUGGUGGAGCGUUAGGAAGUGAGAAUGCUGGAACGAGUAACCAUAAGACAGGUGAGAAUCCUGUCGGCCGAAAGAGCGAGGUUUCCUGGGCUAUGGUAAUCAUCCCAGGGUUAGUCGGGCCUAAGCCGAGGCGUUUAGCGUAGGCGAUGGACAUCAGGUUAAUAUUCCUGAACUAGUCAAACUUUGUAUGCAGUUAGCGAUGAGAUAGGUGGAGCGGAUUCAUGGUUUAUCCGUUCAAGUGAUAGAGGAAUCUUGAUCGAGUAAAAGUGAACCUACGGGUUUACGAUUCCACUGAAGGCAUUGACCAGAAAAGCUGGCAUACGCAUGGGUUUGGCUACCCGUACCGCAAACCGACACAGGUGCUCGAGUCGAGGAGACUAAGGCUUACGAGAGAAUGAUUGCUAAGGAACUCGGCAAUACAGCGACCGUAACUUCGGAAUAAGGUCUGCCUACAUUUGUAGGCCGCAGCUAAAGAGCCCACGGAACUGUUUAUCAAAAACACAGGUCUCUGCUAACACGAAAGUGGAUGUAUAGGGGCUGACUCCUGCCCGGUGCCGGAAGGUUAAGGGGAGUGCUUCACGGUGCAAACUGAAGCCCCGGUGAACGGCGGCGGUAACUAUAACCGUCCUAAGGUAGCGAAAUUCCUUGUCAGGU
rnacentral:rRNA from 1 species